GAUGAACGCUGGCGGCGUGCUUAACACACGCAAGUCGAACGGAAAGGCUCCUGCUUGCAGGGGUACUCGAGUGGCGAACGGGUGAGUAACACGUGGGUGAUCUGCCCUGCACUUCGGGAUAAGCUUGGGAAACUGGGUCUAAUACCGGAUAGGACCGCAUUUUGGAUGGUGUGGUGGAAAGUUUUUUCGGUGUGGGAUGAGCUCGCGGCCUAUCAGCUUGUUGGUGGGGUAAUGGCCUACCAAGGCGUCGACGGGUAGCCGGCCUGAGAGGGUGUACGGCCACAUUGGGACUGAGAUACGGCCCAGACGCCUACGGGAGGCAGCAGUGGGGAAUAUUGCACAAUGGGCGCAAGCCUGAUGCAGCGACGCCGCGUGGGGGAUGACGGCCUUCGGGUUGUAAACUCCUUUCGCUAGGGACGAAGAGUAAUUGACGGUACCUGGAGAAGAAGCACCGGCUAACUACGUG
rnacentral:rRNA from 1 species